AAAGAAGAAAAAAGAAAGAAAGAAGAAAACAAACAAAGGUUCAUAUUAUAAUCUUUUUAUCUGAUAAUCAAAGAACUUACAAAGUGAUUUAUUGUUAAAGAAUUUAGGCCCUCGACAACAGGAUAUGAAUUUUGCAAAAUAGAUGCAUCUCCAGGUCCCAUAGAUGUCACAAGUUAAGAAUGCAGUUACAAUUCAGAAUGGAAACCAGAUUGCUAAGAGUCAAUAGAAGAAUACCAUAAGUGGAAGAAAGAAACCUGGAUAAAACUGUAUUGGGUAAGUAGGUCAGAUUUCUGUAACAUAUACAAUUGGUAAAGAUCAGGAAUAUCUCCAAAAAGCCUGCUGAUGACCCAGCUUUGUCAGAAUCAGUGGUAUACAGUGGUCUUUUAUAGAAGACCUGUAAAGAAAAGAAUUCGUACAUUGGAACAAGUUAAACCAGGAACUCGAGAGUGGGGAGGAAAUUCAAUUGCGGAGACAGAAAUUGUUCCACGUGGGAUCAUUUUAAAAUAAAAUAAUUUAUAAAUUAAU
rnacentral:misc_RNA from 1 species